rnacentral:rRNA from 1 species
ACGGGAGGCAGCAGUGGGGAAUCUUGCACAAUGGGGGCAACCCUGAUGCAGCGACGCCGCGUGAGCGAUGAAGCCCUUCGGGGUGUAAAGCUCUUUCGGCAGGGAAGAUAAUGACGGUACCUGCAGAAGCACCGGCUAACUACGUGCCAGCAGCCGCGGUAAUACGUAGGCAGCGAGCGUUGUUCGGAGUUACUGGGCGUAAAGGGUGUGUAGGCGGUUGUUUAAGUUUGGUGUGAAAUCUCCCGGCUCAACUGGGAGGGUGCGCCGAAUACUGAAUGACUUGGAGUGCGGGAGAGGAAAGUGGAAUUCCUGGUGUAGCGGUGAAAUGCGUAGAUAUCAGGAGGAACACCGGUGGUGUAGACGGCUUUCUGGACCGUAACUGACGCUGAGACACGAAAGCGUGGGUAGCAAACAGGAUUAGAUACCCUGGUAGUCCACGCCCUAAACGAUGCAUAUUUGGUGUGGGCAGUUCAUUCUGUCCGUGCCGGAGCUAACGCGUUAAAUAUGCCGCCUGGGGAGUACAGUCGCAGGGCUGAAACUCAAAGGAAUUGACGGGGGCCCGCACAAGCGGUGGAGCAUGUGGUUCAAUUCGACGCAACGCGAAGAACCUUACCUGGGCUCGAACGGCUGGUCAACGGAGGUGGAAACACUUUUACCCCGCAAGGGGGUCCAGUCGAGGUGCUGCAUGGCUGUCGUCAGCUCGUGUCGUGAGAUGUUGGGUUAAGUCCCGCAACGAGCGCAACCCUUGUCCUGUGUUGCCAUGCCGAAAGGCGGAACUCGCAGGAGACCGCCAGCGAUAAGCUGGAGGAAGGUGGGGAUGACGUCAAGUCCUCAUGGCCUUUAUGUCCAGGGCUACACACGUGCUACAAUGGACGGUACAAUACGUCGCUAACCCGCGAGGGGGAGCCAAUCGCAAAAAACCGUUCUCAGUUCGGAUUGCAGGCUGCAACUCGCCUGCAUGAAGUUGGAAUCG